CCUACGGGAGGCAGCAGUAGGGAAUAUUGGGCAAUGGAGGCAACUCUGACCCAGCCAUGCCGCGUGCAGGAUGAAGGCGUUAUGCGUUGUAAACUGCUUUUAUAUAGGAAGAAAGAGUUCUUGCGAGAACAGUUGACGGUACUAUAUGAAUAAGCACCGGCUAACUCCGUGCCAGCAGCCGCGGUAAUACGGAGGGUGCAAGCGUUGUCCGGAUUUAUUGGGUUUAAAGGGUGCGUAGGCGGUUUAUUAAGUCAGUGGUGAAAGACGGUCGCUCAACGAUUGCAGUGCCAUUGAUACUGGUAGACUUGAGUGAGAUUGAGGUAGCUGGAAUGGAUAGUGUAGCGGUGAAAUGCAUAGAUAUUAUCCAGAACACCAAUUGCGUAGGCAAGUUACUAAGUCUCAACUGACGCUGAGGCACGAAAGUGUGGGUAUCAAACAGGAUUAGAUACCCUGGUAGUCCACACUGUAAACGAUGAUAACUAACUNUUGGCUUUCGGGUCAGUGGUACAGAGAAAUCGUUAAGUUAUCCGACCGUGGGUAGGUACGUUCCGGCGUACGGUUAGUUAACGUACGAAGGAAGUUAGACGGCGUUGAGACGUUGCCGACGGACGACGACGAGGGAGGUUAGG
rnacentral:rRNA from 1 species